GCUCCACCAGCAGACGUGCAGUGCCCGUGAACGUUGCGUGCGUGUGCGCGGUCCGUCUGUGGUUGGUGUGCAUUAAUCACAAAACGAUAUUGUUAUCAGAACGAUAUGGUAGUGCAAAGUUCGACCGUCUCGUCGCGGGUAUCAUCGUCGUCUUGAAAAUAAAAAAAGUAAUCGAAAGAUAAAACCGACGCAAACCUCAGCGCGUGUGGUCCGGUCGAUCUGUGUCCGUCGUCCGCAGCGAUAAUAAUAUUAUGUUCCUUUGGUCGUAAUAUUAUUAUUAUUAUUAUAAUAUUACAUCGUAAUCGUCCGAAAACCGAUCGCGGCCGUCUAGUGUCGAGUGCGGGUCUCGUGUUUAGAGUGUAGAGUUGUGUCUGUACCUUUGUUGGGUGUAAAAUUGUAAAUUAAUAAUAUAAAUUCGCGAGUGCAGUGCCCGUGAUACAGUGUCGAAAUCCGCCGUCGUCGGUAGUUGCUCAAUUAUUUCGCUUUGCUAAUAUCGUUAUGUUUUAUCGUCGUUGUUGUUCUUAUUAUUGUUAUUCGUGUUAUAAUUGUGACGAGGUGAAACGAUACGUGUUGGGCGUCCGAAAAUCUUAAUCGUACCGCCUGUAACAUAGGUCUAGGUACCGGUUUAGCAUAUUAUUAUUAUAUUUUAUUCGUGCGUCCAAAUCCCGAUAUUUUUCCCGAUAAUAAAUAUGACCACUCGCUGCCCACUGGAUUUUGGAGUUGUGCCCCUGAAGUGGUAAUCGCAGCGGUGGCAAUCGUAAACAAGGUGUAUCCGUCGGUUUUCGCAAAUGACACUGCAAACGCACUGGACAGCACCAACUACGCGACUGGUGCGAAUAAGACUUUGAGGGGCCUCGAGCCCCUGUGGGAUGGACUGCCGUGGCGACGAGCUCAUCCAACACAAUAACAGAACAGCGGCACAAGCUGUGCCUUUUCAAUACCUCAUCAACGAACAGGCAAAGUCUAUCCUCGCUCUACAGGAAUUACAGAAUGAGGUCGGCGCGCUGUUGGAGUUUAGGGACAUGGUCAUGGACACGUUCCCGCACCUGCGUCACAAGCAGGCGUCCAGCCCGGAGCCGAGCUCGGGGUCGCAGGGCGUCGGUUCCGGCGAGAGCCGCUGGGAGCCCGGCGUGCGGGUCCGCCGGAAGUUGCAGGGCUCGUCGUCGGGAUGGAUCGCCGGCGGGGGAGGUGGCGGAGGCGGCGGCGGCGUCGGCGUCGUCGGACUGGUGGCCGCGGCCGGGGCGGCGCCGCGCAGCCGGAGCAACAGCCACGGGAAGGGCCCGAAGAGCGGCGAACCGGCGGCCGCUUCGUCGGUGGGCACCGUGCAGGACAGCGGCUUCUGCACGGAGAGCAAGGACAGCAGCUCGACCAGCUCGCGGACGACGAUGACCACCAAGAACUGCGGCGGCAAGGACGACGAGGACGACGAGCUGUGGAGCCUGCUGGAGAUGAUCCAGGACAAGGGCACCAAGCUCAAGCUGGAGGUGGAGUCGCUGCAGAACCGGCUGUUGGUGGACGACGAGCGGCUGCGGCGGCGCCGGCGCCGGCUGCGGUUGCGGCCGUGCCGGAGCGUCGACGACCUGCUGCAGCCGUCGUGGCCGCGCGACGCCGACGACCUGCGCGCCCGCGGCUGCACCGCCGAUUACGACGUGUUCCGGGCGCACGUGGCCAACGUGAAACGCGAACGGGACGCGCUGCUCGACCGGGUCACCGAAAUGGAAGCGGAGAGCCUGUCGAAUGCGGCGCAGAUCCACCGGCUGCUCGCCGAGCUCAAGACUGUCGUGUGCGAGAACAGGGAACUCGAGGAACGGCUGUGCGGCGGUAAGUCGCCGUCGGCCGCCGCCGCCAUAGCAGCCGCGACCAUCGCGUCGAGGAAAUCGUCAUCUAGUCAUAACGGUGGCUUCGCCCCGGUCCAGCCUGAAUCGUCGACGGGGCCCAGCUCGUCGUCGGCCGGCCGCGACGCGUUCUACACGCCCAGCCAACAUUCGGCGUGCAACCUGUCGUCCAUCGAACUGCAGUGCGGCAAACUGUUGCACGACGGUUCGUCGUCGUCCGCCUCUUGUGCGUCGCUGUCUUCGUCAUCAGCCAUCAUGGACGACGGCGGCGGCGACCGGGACCGGGACCGCCACCGGUCCAGGAGGGUCCUGCUGGUCCGGCCGUCCGACCCCAUUUCCCGGAACCUGGAGGGCCGCGCAUCGUCACCGGCGCUCGACAUUGGGUCGCCGACGUUCGCCAAGCGGCUGGGCGCCCUGGACGGCGUUGUCAGCAGUCCCGGCGACCGGAUCGGCAAACCCCACGCUCCCGGGUUCGGCACCCCGUUGCCCAAAAGAACCCUCGCCGCCAUACUAAAAACGUUCAAUCCCAUCGAACUCCAGCGACACCUCAUCACAGUAUCCUACGAGAACAAGAAUCUCAUCCGACAGAUGGAGAUGUUGAACAUUUCCAAGAGCGACGUUUCCAACGAGCUGAACAAGAGCAAAGAGGACAACGAAGAACUGAAAUUCCAACUGGAGGAGAAGCGCAUCGAGCUGGAGGGCACCAUGGCCCGGGUGAGGUUGCUGCAGUUGCACCAGGAGCAGCAGCAACACGGUCCCGUGGUCGCGGGAUCGCAGUCGGCCGGCUCCGCGGCCGCGGCCACCAACCAGUGGCUGGACCUGGUGCCGUCGAACCCGAUCCUACCUCAGAUCGCGCUGCCGGGAACGCCGUCGGCGGCGGUGUCCGCUAACGGCAACAACAACCUGCACCUGCACCUCAACCACAGCCAGGACGAGAACGGCGGCAGCAGCAGCACCGAGUCGGCGCACCAGACCCGCAGCGGCGGCAGACACGGCGUGCAGCACCAGCCCAGCAAGAUACCGGUGGUCAAGCCGACUUCGUGCCCGGUGCAGUCGAGGUCGUCGUCGUCGUACCGCGGCGGCGGCGACGCGCAGCAGUACCAGUCGUGGACCAAAUGCAAGUCGGACCAAUCGUUGCCCCGCAACUGGGAGUCCAUCAACAACAACAACAACAACAACAGCCACAACAAGAGCAACGGCGGGUCGUCCAUCGGCAGCGGCGUCGGCGGCGCGGCCGUCAAACAGCAGCGCGGCGGCAACAGACUGGACUCGUCGCAGUACCAGCAGCAGCAGCAGCAGCAGCACAGGUCCCGAAGGGAUUCGGGCGGCGGAGCGUCCCUGACGCGAGCCCGGUCGCAAAACAAUCACUCGCACCGGGGCGGCGGCGCCGCGGCCAAAGAAUUCGUCGGCAGGACCGCGUCGACGGCUGCGGCCGCGGGUCAUCAGCUGCAGCAGCUGCAACAACAACAACAGCCGGCGGCCGACGAUACCAACAAGGUACGGCCGACCAAGAGAUUCGCCAACAUACUUAACAAUUGGAUGCGGAAAUCCUAACGGAAGGCUUUUAAAAAAAAAAACACACACACUAUCGGCCGUAUAUAUAUAUUAUACAUAUUAUUAUAAGAUGAUGACGUCAUCGUAAUAUAUCGUCCGACGUUUCUACGACGUGUGCGCACGCGCACGUUUUCGGACACACACACACACACACUCAAACAUUGCAUACACGUACAUAUAUAUAUAUAUAUCGUAAACUUGGGCGCGCGCACACACACGCACUCCGACUUAAGUCGAUAGUGUCGAUAUGUAUAUAAUAUGAUAAUAUGAUAAUGUGUGUGCGUGCUUUACUUUAUAUAUAUAUUUUAUAAUAUAAUAUAUAAUAUAUAUAUAUUAUCGCACCAUAUUAUUAUGCUGUUGUUUCCAAUCACACCGCAGUCACAAAAAAAAAAAACUACCAAAAAAUGUGUUAAAUAUGAUAUAUAUAUGAUGCGAAAAAGGAUUAUAGCUUUUCAACGUGUGCUUAUGUUAUUGCUUCUUAUAUUGGACAUUAUGCGCAGUAAAACAAAAAUAUAUACAUAAUAUAGUACAUAUAUAUAUAUACGCGCAUAUCGUGUCCCCGCGAUUAUACCAUCACACACCGUUCACACGCGACGACUCAAGUCGGCCGAAACCCCCCGCCGCCAAGAAACUGUUCCGGCGCCGUAACCUCGUGCGGCAGAGCCGCUGCUUGAUGGAAGCCUGCAAGAAACCGGUCCUGCCGGCCGUCGACGAAGUACAAGAGCCGCCGGACGACUCCGCAGUGGCCGCAGCGGCCGC